CCCUUAGAUGUCCUGGGCUGCACGCGCGCUACAUUGGAAGUUACGGAUUGAGAUACUACCUUGUCCGAAAUGGUCCGGGUAAUCACCUAAAAGCUUGUCAUAAUUGGAAUGGAUUAUUGUAACUAGUAAUCCUGAACGAGGAAUUCCUAGUAAGUCCCAGUCAACAGCUGGUACUGAUUACGUCCCUGCCCUUUGUACACACCGCCCGUCGCUACUACUGAUUGGACGUUUAAGCAAGAUUUUUAAACACUGACAGUGUGUAGUUCACGCUAUACUACAGUGAGAAGAAGAAGAUCGAGCUUACUUGUCUAGAGGAAGUAAAAGUCGUAACA
rnacentral:rRNA from 1 species